UACGGGGGGGGCAAGCGUUGUUCGGAAUUACUGGGCGUAAAGUGUGCGCAGGCGGCCGCGCAAGUCGAGUGUGAAAGCCCCGGGCUUAACUUGGGAAUUGCGCUCGAAACUACGUGGCUGGAGUGUGGCAGAGGAAGGUGGAAUUCCAGGUGUAGCGGUGAAAUGCGUAGAGAUCUGGAGGAACACCGAUGGCGAAGGCAGCCUUCUGGGCCAACACUGACGCUCAUGCACGAAAGCGUGGGGAGCAAACCGG
rnacentral:rRNA from 1 species